AUUGAACGCUGGCGGCAGGCCUAACACAUGCAAGUCGAGCGGAUGAAGGGAGCUUGCUCCUGGAUUCAGCGGCGGACGGGUGAGGAAUGCCUAGGAAUCUGCCUGGUAGUGGGGGAUAACGUCCGGAAACGGGCGCUAAUACCGCAUACGUCCUGAGGGAGAAAGUGGGGGAUAUUCGGACCUCACGCUAUCAGAUGAGCCUAGGUCGGAUUAGCUAGUUGGUGGGGUAAAGGCCUACCAAGGCGACGAUCCGUAACUGGUCUGAGAGGAUGAUCAGUCACACUGGAACUGAGACACGGUCCAGACUCCUACGGGAGGCAGCAGUGGGGAAUAUUGGACAAUGGGCGAAAGCCUGAUCCAGCCAUGCCGCGUGUGUGAAGAAGGUCUUCGGAUUGUAAAGCACUUUAAGUUGGGAGGAAGGGCAGUAAGUUAAUACCUUGCUGUUUUGACGUUACCAACAGAAUAAGCACCGGCUAACUUCGUG
rnacentral:rRNA from 1 species